rnacentral:rRNA from 1 species
GCCAGACUCCUACGGGAGGCAGCAGUGGGGGAUAUUGCACAAUGGGGGGAACCCUGAUGCAGCGACGCCGCGUGGGUGAAGAAGUAUUUCGGUAUGUAAAGCCCUAUCAGCAGGGAAGAAAUUGGACGGUACCUGACUAAGAAGCCCCGGCUAACUACGUGCCAGCAGCAGCGGUAAUACGUAGGGGGCAAGCGUUAUCCGGAUUCACUGGGUGUAAAGGGAGCGUAGACGGCCAUGCAAGCCUGGAGUGAAAGCCCGGGGCCCAACCCCGGGACUGCUCUGGGAACUGUGCGGCUGGAGUGCGGGAGGGGCAGGCGGAAUUCCUGGUGUAGCGGUGAAAUGCGUAGAUAUCAGGAGGAACACCGGUGGCGAAGGCGGCCUGCUGGACUGCAACUGACGUUGAGGCCCGAAAGCGUGGGGAGCAAACAGGAUUAGAUCCCCCUGUA